AGAGUUUGAUUCUGGCUCAGGAUUAAUGCUGGUGGUAUGCAUAACACAUGCAAGUCGAACGAAGGGGAGUCUCUCCUCUUAGUGGCAAACGGGCGAGUAAUACAUAUUUAACCUACAUAUGCGAGGGGGACAGCAUUUCGAAAGGAAUAUUAAUACUCCAUAGGUUUAUAGAGUAAAUUAAAGGGCGCUCCCGAAAGGGGGCGCUGCGCAUAGAUGGGAAUAUGUCCUAUUAGGUAGUUGGCGGGGUAAAUGCCCACCAAGCCUAUGAUGGGUAGCUGGGCUGAGAGGUUGUACAGCCGCAAUGGGAUUGAGAAAUGGCCCAUAUUCCUACGGGAAGCAGCAGUGAGGAAUUUUUCACAAUGGACGAAAGUCUGAUGGAGCAAUACCACGUGAACGAUGAAUGUCUUCUGAUUGUAAAGUUCUUUUAUUUAGGAUAAAAAGCAUGAUAGGAAAUGAUUAUGCCUUGAUAGUACUAAAUGAAUAAGUGACAGCUAACUAUGUGCCAGCAGCUGCGGUAACACAUAGGUCACAAGCAUUAUCCGGAUUUAUUGGGCGUAAAGGAAGCGUAGGCGGAUAGUUUGAUCCAGUGUUAAAUGCAUCUGCUCAACAGAUGUAUGCAUUGGAAAUCAUCUAUCUAGAAUUAGUUAGAGGGUACUGGAAUUCAAUGUGGAGCGGUGGAAUGCGUAGAUAUAUUGAGGAACACCAGAGGCUAAGGCGAGUACCUGGGACAUAAUUGACGCUGAGGCUUGAAAGCGUGGGGAGCAAAUGGGAUUAGAUACCCCAGUAGUCCACGCCGUAAACGAUGGGUAUUAGGUAUUUGGGUUUAAUCUGAGUACUGUAGCUAACGCGUUAAAUACCCCGCCUGGGUAGUAUAUAUGCAAAUAUGAAACUCAAAGAAAUUGACGGGGACCUGAACAAGUGGUGGAGCAUGUUGCUUAAUUCGAUAAUACACGAAAAACCUUACCAAGGCUUGUAAUCUUCUGCAAAGCUAUAGAAAUAUAGUGGAGGCUAUCAGAAUGACAGGUGGUGCAUGGCUGUCGUCAGCUCGUGUCUUGAGAUGUUUGGUUAAGUCCCGUAACGAGCGCAACCCUACUCAUUAGUUACCUAGUUCUAAUGUGACUGAAUCGUAAGAUAUAGGAAGGAUGGGGCCAAGUCAAGUCAUCAUGCCCCUUAUGCCUUGGGCUGCAAACGUGCUACAAUGGUAGGUACAAUGUGUUGCAACCUAGCAAUAGGAAGCUAAUCACUAAACCCUAUCUCAGUCCGGAUAAAAGGCUGCAAUUCGCCUAUUUGAAGUUGGAAUCACUAGUAAUCCUGUGUCAGCUAUAUCAGGGUGAAUACGUUCCCAGGUCUUGUACACACCGCCCGUCAAACUAUGAAAGAAUGUACUAGUUAAAACCGCAUUAAAUUGCGUCUAGAUUGGUAAAUUUAAUUGGAGUUAAGUCGUAACAAGGUACCCGUACGAGAACGUGCGGGUG
rnacentral:rRNA from 1 species